GAUUCUUCCCAAUUCUACCGCCACCAUUCUGGUUCAAGCUACCUGGUUUGUAGACUAGGAGCAACAGGCUACAUGAUAUAGCAUGGGUGACAAAGACUUUAAGCCAACUGUCUUAUGUAUGUUCAAAGAACUAAAGGAAACCAGGAAAAAAAUGUAUGAACAAAAUUAAGAGUACCAAUAAUGAGGCAGAAUUAUUAAAAGCCCAUCAAAUAGAAACUCAGGAACUGAAAAGUACAAUAACUAAAAUGAAAAUCUUUAGAGGGGCUUAAUGAAUUUGAGUACAAAGAAGAGUCAGCAAAUUUAAAGAUAGUAUAAUUUAAAUUAUCCAGUGUGUGUCUUGGUUUGAGUUCAGUCUAAAUCAAUCAAUCAAUCAAUCAAUCAAUCAUCCAGUAUGAGGAACAGAAAGAAAAAUGAAGAAAAGUAAACAGAGUCCAAGGGACCUGUGGGACAUCAUCAAGUGAACUAACAUAUGCAUUACAGGAGUCUCAAGAGGGGAAGUGAAAUAGGAUCAGAAAGAAUGUUUGAAGAAAUAAUGGUUGAAAAACUCCGAAAUUUGAUGAAAGAGGUGAAUCUACAUAUCCAAGAAGCUCAAUGAACUCUAAAGAGACCCACACUGAGACAUGUUAUAGUCCAACUGUCAAAAGCCA
rnacentral:antisense_RNA from 1 species